rnacentral:sRNA from 1 species
AUGACAUUUAAUCAGGCAGAAACUUUUCCAUUUAAUCCAUUUGAUCUCACCAAGGUUUGGCCUCACAAGGACUACCCUCUCAUCCCAGUUGGUAAACUGGUCUUAAACCGGAAUCCAGUUAAUUACUUUGCUGAGGUUGAACAGAUAGCCUUCGACCCAAGCAACAUGCCCCCUGGCAUUGAGGCCAGUCCUGACAAAAUGCUUCAGGUGAGCCUGGUGGAUUGUGCUGUUCUGAGGCAGGUGUCCAUGUGAGCACGCACACACAAAAUAUGCAGCUUGGCAUGAUCUUUAUAUGAGGAAUUAACGAGAACAUUACUUAAACUUUAAUCUGGGUGCUCGGUUACCUUGUGGGAU